UGACUAAUUAAAAAUUGGAAGUGUUAAAUGCUUUCCAUGGAUACCGAGUUUUGCAUAAGAAUCUCAACGAAUCAUCUUAAUGUACGAAAGUUGAAUUUUCGAAACCACAAAGUUUUGGUAUAAAUACAAGGGCCAAUUAAUUGGUUCGACAUUAUAACUAACAAUAUGAAGAUCCAAGUGUUUCUAGCUAUUGCGCUGAUUAUAUUAGCAAAAGCUAUUGUGAAAUAAUAUUUUUCCUUAGCUCAUCCAAGUCCGAAAGCUCAUAGAGGUGGCUGCUGUGGCCCUUGGGUUGGUGGAGGUGGCGG